GUUUGAUCCUGGCUCAGAACGAACGCUGGCGGCAGGCCUAACGCAUGCAAGUCGAGCGAGGGGUAACCCUAGCGGCGGACGGGUGAGUAACGCGUGGGAACGUGCCCUUUGCUACGGAAUAGCCCUGGGAAACUGGGAGUAAUACCGUAUGAGCCCUUUGGGGGAAAGAUUUAUCGGCAAAGGAUCGGCCCGCGUUGGAUUAGGUAGUUGGUGGGGUAAUGGCCUACCAAGCCGACGAUCCAUAGCUGGUUUGAGAGGAUGAUCAGCCACACUGGGACUGAGACACGGCCCAUACUCCUACGGGAGGCAGCAGUGGGGAAUCUUAGACAAUGGGCGCAAGCCUGAUCUAGCCAUGCCGCGUGAGCGAUGAACGCCUUAGGGUUGUAAAGCUCUUUCAGGGGGGAAGAUAAUGACUGUACCCCCAGAAGAAGCCCCGGCUAACUCCGUGCCAGCAGCCGCGGUAAUACGGAGGGGGCUAGCGUUGCUCGGAAUUACUGGGCGUAAAGCGCACGUAGGCGGACUGGAAAGUCAGGGGUGAAAUC
rnacentral:rRNA from 1 species